CCUGUAAAAAGAGUCAAAUAAUUACCUUCAAUCAUUGUAUCCUUGAACAUAAGAAAGUAGUCUUUAAAAAAAACUAGAACUGUAGAACGCAGAUGAGUGAGACAAUGUGAUUUAUGUCCAGUCAAUCAGAUCCCGUGGAACAUUUUUUGAUAGAUAGAAAAAAGUUCGGUCCUCGGUAGUCGGUAGCAAACAAAAGCAAAACAAAACAGUAAAAUACAAUCCACUGCAAAUUACCCUCCCUCUCUAUGCUAACAACCAGAUUGCUCUUUCCAUUUCAGAAUGAGUUAUCAUAUACAUCUUUCUGUUUUCAAUGUGUUAUUUAGUAUUUCAAUAUAAAUUUUGAAAUAUAAUAAAUAAUUUAACCCUAUAAAUAAAAGGUAUAAAACGAACAUUCAUAAAUCAAAUUGUUUUGCUUUUGUUAAAGAAAUCAGGUGUUUUGUGAAACAAUAAUUUUGUACUAGUUUAGAUGUCCGGAUUAAAAGAAUAUUUGGGGACUGUAAUUACAGCUGUCCUCUGUACGGUAGUGGCCAAGGGGAAAUCACACGUCCAACAAUAUAUAGGGACUACAUAAAUACAUCGAUUUGGUACAAUAUCUAUAUAUUAAUUUUAAGAGUAAAUAAUUAUAAUAUAUAGUCUUUUGUUAUAAUGACAAUAAAAAGUUCAAAAUAUUUGGGGCCUAUAAAGUUACAACUGUUUUCUAUAUGGAAAGAGCCAAGGGAAAAUCACAUGUCCAACAAUAUCUAAAGACUUGACAUAAUUAAAUAUAUUUACUACAAUGCCAAUAUAAGUAUAUUAUAAGAGUAAGAGGGAAUAAUAUUUAUGUAAAGAGGUGGGAGACCUGUGGUAGAGGGAGCUGAGUAGAGUAACCAAGAAUGCCGCGACAAGUAAACAUGAAGCAAGCCGAGAUAGUGGCUCGUGGUCUUCCUUCCAUCAACCAUGUCCAUACAAUAUACGUCGUCUGCAUCGCUACGAAUACCUGUCCCCACCAUCCACCAAUAUUAAAUAGUUACAAGUACCAAAUCGAAUCUAACCAAUCUCUUUGCAUUGCAUGUGAUCAUGUCUCCAACUCAUCACCAUGUGUCCCUUUUCAUUGGGUUGAAACUUUAAAGUUAAAAGCAAUCUAAUCUAUUAUUGUACUGCUUCUUUAUAAAGAAAA